rnacentral:rRNA from 1 species
AGUGUAUAUUAAAGUUGUUGCAGUUAAAAAGCUCGUAGUUGGAUUUCGGAGCAUUCACGAUGCUGACCGCUGAAACGGCGUGUUCGGCGCGUGGAUCUCCUUUUCUUGGGGAAUCAAGUGGGUGGCGGGUAAAACCGUCAUUCGCUCCCCAUCGUUUACUUUGAGAAAAUUGGAGUGCUCAAAGCAGGCACAACCCUGCCUUGAACAAUGCAGCAUGGGAUAAUAGAACAGGACGAAGGUCCUAUUUUGUUGGUUUCUAGGGCUUUUGUAAUGAUUAAAAGGGACAGUUGGGGGCAUUCGUAUUCAAUUGUCAGAGGUGAAAUUCUAGGAUUAAUUGAAGACGAACUACUGCGAAAGCAUUUGCCAAGGAUGUUUUCAUUAAUCAAGAACGAAAGUAGGGGGAUCGAAGAUGAUCAGAUACCGUCGUAGUCUCUACCAUAAACGAUGCCGACCAGGGAUCCGGAGACGUCACGUGGAUGACUCCCCGGGCACCUUGUGAGAAAUCAUAAGUCGCUGGGUUCUGGGGGGAGUAUGGUCGCAAGGCUGAAACUUAAAGGAAUUGACGGAAGGGCACCACCAGGCGUGGAACCUGCGGCUUAAUUC